rnacentral:rRNA from 1 species
CCUACGGGAGGCAGCAGUGGGGAAUUUUGGACAAUGGGCGAAAGCCUGAUCCAGCAAUGCCGCGUGAGUGAAGAAGGCCUUCGGGUUGUAAAGCUCUUUUGUCAGGGAAGAAACGGUGAGAGCUAAUAUCUCUUGCUAAUGACGGUACCUGAAGAAUAAGCACCGGCUAACUACGUGCCAGCAGCCGCGGUAAUACGUAGGGUGCAAGCGUUAAUCGGAAUUACUGGGCGUAAAGCGUGCGCAGGCGGUUUUGUAAGUCUGUCGUGAAAUCCCCGGGCUCAACCUGGGAAUUGCGAUGGAGACUGCAAGGCUAGAAUCUGGCAGAGGGGGGUAGAAUUCCACGUGUAGCAGUGAAAUGCGUAGAGAUGUGGAGGAACACCGGAUGGCGAAGGCAGCCCCCUGGGUCAAGAUUGACGCUCAUGCACGAAAGCGUGGGGAGCAAACAGGAUUAGAUACCCUGGUAGUCCACGCCCUAAACGAUGUCUACUAGUUGUCGGGUUUUAAUUAACUUGGUAACGCAGCUAACGCGUGAAGUAGACCGCCUGGGGAGUACGGUCGCAAGAUUAAAACGUNAAAGUUAGUAAGUUCGGCGNGNGAGAGCGACGACGACGACGAGGAGGAGGAG